AAGACCUGUACCUAUAAUUGCAAACGGGACCUUCGGGUUGACUGUGCACAUUAUAGGGACUGCCUUCGUAAGGAGGAGGAAGGUGCAGGCAACGGUAGGUCUGUAUGCUCCGAAUCUUCUAGGCUACACGCGCGCAACAGUGGUUAAGACAAUGGGAUGCAACACCGUAAGGUGAAGCUAAUCCUCGAAACUUUAUCGUAGUUUAGAUUGUGGGUUGCAACUCACCCACAUGACAACGGAAUCGCUAGUAAUCGGACUUCAUCAUAGUCUGGUGAAUAU
rnacentral:rRNA from 1 species